AAUCAUUAGAAAAAUCCACAAAAGGAGAAAUAUUUUCUCCUUUAGUGGUUGUGCAAUGGAGAGAGACAGAGGGGGAGUGGAUGGAGAGAGACAGAGGGAGGGUGGAUGGAGAGAGACAGAGGGGGAGUGGAUGGAGAGAGACAGAGGGAGGGUGGAUGGAGAGAGACAGAAGGAGGGUGGAUGGAGAGAGACAGAGGGAGGGUGGAUGGAGAGAGACAGAGGGGAAGUGGAUGGAGAGAGACAGAGGGGGAGUGGAUGGAGAGAGACAGAGGGAGGGUGGAUGGAGAGAGACAGAGGGAGGGUGGAUGGAGAGAGACAGAGGGAGGGUGGAUGGAGAGAGACAGAGGGGGGUGGAUGGAGAGAGACAGAGGGGGGUGGAUGGAGAGAGACAGAGGGAGGGUGGAUGGAGAGAGACAGAGGGGGGUGGAUGGAGAGAGACAGAGGGGGGUGGAUGGAGAGAGACAGAGGGA